rnacentral:SRP_RNA from 1 species
GCUGAGUGCAGUGGCAUAUGCCUGUAGUCCCAGCUACUCGGGAGGCUGAGGUGGGAGGAUCACUUGAGCCCAGGAGUUCUGGGCUGUAGUGUGCUAUGCCGAUCCAGCAUCCGCCCUAAGUUUGGCAUCACUAUGGUGACCUCCCGGGAGCAGGGGACCACCAGGUUGCCUAAGGAGGGGUGAUCUGGCCCAGGUCAGAAACGGAGAAGGUCAAAACUCCUGUGCUGAUCAGUAAUGAGAUUGCGCCUGUGAAUAGCCACUGCACUCCAGCCUGGGCAUCACAGUGAGAUCUCGUCUCU